rnacentral:rRNA from 1 species
CAAUAGCGUAUAUUAAAGUUGUUGCAGUUAAAAGGCUCGUAGUUGGAUUUCUGGUAGGAGCGACCGUGCCGAACUUGAUUGUUCGAGUAUUGUGUUGUCUUCAGCCAUCCUCGUGGAGAACUUUUCUAACAUUAACUUGUUGGGAUUGGGACCCGCGUCGUUUACUGUGAAAAAAUUAGAGUGUUUAAAGCAGGCAUUAGCUUGAAUACAUUAGCAUGGAAUAAUAAGAUAGGACUUUGGUACUAUUUUGUUGGUUUGCAUACCAAAUUAAUGAUCAACAGGAACAGUUUGAGGAUAUUCGUAUGAACAUGUCAGAGGUGAAAUUCUUGGAUUUUGAUCAGACGAACUACUGCGAAAGCAUUUAUCAAGGAUGUUUUCAUUAA